GGUCAGCUUGGUGUGCCAGGGUUGUAAUUGGGGUCGCUUGCGGUGUUUGAUUGUAGGAAGUGCCAUGAUGUCGAGUUGAGAGGAGAGAGUUGAGAUGUAGAGUGAGGUAGCAGAGUUUGGGCAAGUUAGAUUUGAGAUGGGUAAAAGGAGAGUUUUGAGUGUGGUGGAGAAAUGCUGGAGAUCAAGGCAGUUGAGGCUUCUGCGAGAUUGGUGAGUUGAGGGUGG